UUUUGUGCCAGCAGCGGCGGUUAUACUUUUAAAAAAGAGCUCUAUUUUUUAAACUAGAAAAAUAAAAUUUUAAUUUUCUGUUAUAAGAAUUAAAAGACAAAAUUUUAUUGAAAUUUCAAAUUUUAAAUAAGAUAACAAAACUGGAUUAGUACCCAGGUAUGGUGGUAUAUUGAGGUAUUUAAAAUUAAACCUAAACUGUCUGCCAGUUAUUUAUCCCUUUUUAGAGAAUUCUGGUUUAUAAAUUGACACCCCACAAUUUUAUUUACUAAGCUAAAGCUUACGUGUGGUUGUUUGAAAAAUAAACCUCACAUUAAAUUUUAUCCAAAUAACAUGUAGUGUAGAGUAGGAAUAACUGGAAUGCUAUAAAACUUAUUAAUAAUUUUAAGGAUUUAAUAGUAGGUAAGAUUAAUCGAACAAGUUAUAAAUAGGCUCAAUUCCAUCCGUUGAACUCCGGGUUCUGUAU
rnacentral:rRNA from 1 species